GCGGAUGUGGCGGAAUUGGUAGACGCACUAGUUUCAGGUAUUAGCGAGUAAAAUCGUGGGAGUUCGAGUCUCCCCAUCCGCA
rnacentral:tRNA from 2 species